rnacentral:rRNA from 1 species
GGAAGACUGCCCUAUGGGUUGUAAACUACUUUUAUAGAGGAAGAAACGGCAUUACGUGUAAUGUUUUGACGGUACUCUACGAAUAAGGAUCGGCUAACUCCGUGCCAGCAGCCGCGGUAAUACGGAGGAUCCAAGCGUUAUCCGGAAUCAUUGGGUUUAAAGGGUCCGUAGGCGGGUUUGUAAGUCAGUGGUGAAAGUUUUCGGCUCAACCGGAAAAUUGCCAUUGAUACUGCAAGUCUUGAAUUAUUGUGAAGUGGUUAGAAUGUGUAGUGUAGCGGUGAAAUGCAUAGAUAUUACACAGAAUACCGAUUGCGAAGGCAGAUCACUAACAAUUAAUUGACGCUAAGGGACGAAAGCGUGGGUAGCGAACAGGAUUAGAUACCCUGGUAGUCCACGCCGUAAACGAUGGUUACUAGCUGUUCGGACUUCGGUCUGAGUGGCUAAGCGAAAGUGAUAAGUAACCCACCUGGGGAGUACGUUCGCAAGAAUGAAACUCAAAGGAAUUGACGGGGGCCCGCACAAGCGGUGGAGCAUGUGGUUUAAUUCGAUGAUACGCGAGGAACCUUACCAGGGCUUAAAUGUAGAUUGACAGGUUUAGAGAUAGACUUUCCUUCGGGCAAUUUACAAGGUGCUGCAUGGUUGUCGUCAGCUCGUGCCGUGAGGUGUCAGGUUAAGUCCUAUAACGAGCGCAACCCCUGUUGUUAGUUGCCAUCGAGUCAUGUCGGGAACUCUAACAAGACUGCCAGUGCAAACUGCGAGGAAGG